UGACGGCCCCCGGAAGCGCCGCUGGCCAGCUCGGGUCUGUUUGUGUUUGGGGCGGAGGCGGGUUUCGGAACUAUGGCCAAGUCCGGGAAGGAACUGGAUACCCAGAGCGUGGUUGCAUUCACGGUGUUAAAGCGGGCGGUGGAACUAGACUCGGAGUCCCGGUACCAGCAGGCUUUUGUGUGUUACCAGGAGGGGAUAGACCUGCUCAUGCAGGUUCUGAGAGGUACCAAAGAUGAUACAAAGAAAUGUAAUCUCAGAAAACAAAUAACUGGCUACAUGGAUAGAGCAGAAAUACUGAAGAAAUACUUGGAUCAAGAAAAAGAAGAUGGAAAAUAUCAUGAGCAGAUUAAAAUAGAAGAGAAUGCAACAGGUUUCAGUUAUGAGUCACUUUUUCAAAAAUACCUUAAUGAAACAGUUACAGAAGUUUGGAUACAAGAUCCUUAUAUUAGACAGAUCCAUCAGCUAUAUAACUUUCUUCGAUUUUGUGAAAUGCUUAUUAAGAAACCAUGUAAAGUAAAAACUAUUCAUCUUCUCACCUCUCUGGAUGAAGGUAGUGGGAAACAGCAGCAAAGUAGUGGUCUGCAAGAAAUAAAAGAGUCACUCCAGAAUCAUGGGGUGCUGUUGGAAUUAGAAUAUUCUUCUUCAAUACAUGACCGAGAAAUUAGGUUUAACAAUGGAUGGAUGAUUAAGAUUGGAAGAGGACUUGAUUAUUUUAAGAAACCACAGGUUCAGGUGCUGAUAAUGCUGAACCUGAAAAGACUCAAGCCAGUUUGCCAAGUUUUAUUAUAUGGAAAUUCAGGGUCUCAGGAGAGCAAGUGUUGGACCUAAUCAGAAGUUACUUUCUGCAAAGUAUCGUAGCUAUUUUGCCAGGUACCUAUCAGCAUGUGGAAGUAGAGUGGCUUUUCAUUCAGAGCCUCAGUCAUGUGCCCUCACCCUGGAUUCAAGAGACGUGAGAAAGAGAAGAUAGUGAAAAUUCCAGUUUCCAGAGGGGAGUGUUGUUGGUGUGCAACCUCUGGAGUUCCCCAGGUGAAAUUCAAAACUGGCCUCCGUACACUCAGGGCAAGAAGAGACUGAAGACAGGCAGACCACUCCAGAUUGGUAGGUGGGGUUUAAUAAGCAAGGGAACUUACAUAUGAGGCUUGUCUUGGGUGGCUAUGAGACAAGUAAUCUCUACAUAUGCCUGCAGAAUCUCAAGAGUUCAUGGAGGCCUUGAUGGGAUUCAAGUCACAUCUACAAUCCAGAUAGUCUCAGUAAUAUAUGAGUCUCUCAAGGCUGAGUCCUUGAAGUGGCUCCUUGUAUGGGAGCAGUGGGCAGAACACACAUCCCAAGGCCAGGGGAAGGUGUGAAGAGCCUCCGAUUGCCCAUCUCCAGUUCGAGGGUCAACUGCAGUCACAUCUUCUUGAUGACCUCUCCAACAGGAGGUUCUGCCGCACAGCAAGGUUUUUUAAGUUGGAGAAUUCCCCAAACAGUGAGGGGACUUAGGUGCUAAACACUUUAUGCUUUAAGAUGAAUUAUGAAAGUUCACAAUUAUCCCUUUUCAUGACUUCAAAUACUAUAUAUAUGCUGUCAACUCCUGAAUAUAUAAAUUAAGCCGAAAUUUUUCCUUGGCGCUGUGAUCUUAUAUGUUCAGCUGCCUAUUUGGCAUUUCUCCUGGCAUUUCAGAAGCACACAGUCAUUUCAAAUAUAGGAUGCUGCAACUGAGCUCUGGAAACAACACUCCCCCACUCCCUGUGUUUACUCCCAUCCAUCCAGUUGCUCAAAUAAGAAAUCUAGGAGUCAUUCUUGAUUCUUCAUCUCCUUUAUCCUCAUAUGGAAACAAUCAGAAAAGUCUGUGGACUCUAGCUGCAAAACAUACCUUUUCUAUUCUGGGUAAUGCUAAGUUUCCCUUUUGGAACUUGAAGCUAACCUUUCACCUGAUGAUAUCCUCACUCUUGAGAAACAGAUGGUAUCAGAAAAUCAUGAGUGCUUUAUGCCCCAAAACACAUCAUAUCAGGAUUUUUAUACCUUUCUUGGAAAGUAACUUUAACACGUUGCAGCAAAUGUAAUGAGUAAAAAAUAUGCCCAUAAGAAAUCUCUUCAGAAUUGUUUAUUUGCUGUUUAAUAUUGCUGGAAAAGAACAGAAGGACCUGCCUGUGAAACCCGACUCAAAUGAUUAGACUCAACUCAAAUGGUUAGACUGCCAGUUGUGUUUGUCCCAGGAGCCACUUGAAAAGUAAAAUCCCCUUCACUUACUCCACUCCCACACUGAGAGAACCAUUUGCAAGCACAACCCUGUGUGUCCCCUCCUGCCCCUUCCCUUCUUCAAAAAAAAAGUGUGGGGGGGAGAUGAGAUCUGGAUCCAUUCAGUUACAUGAAAAGAACUCAUAAGAGCUAAAUUCACAUUAAAAUCCUAACCCCCAGUACCUCAGUAUGUAACUAUUUGGAGAUAAGGUCUUCAAAGAGCUAUAAAGUUAAAAAUGAUGUCUUUAGAGUGGACCCUAAGACUGGUAUCCUUACAAGAAGUGGAAAUUUUGACGCAGUUAUGCACACUCAGAGGAAAUGUAACAGCACCCCAAUUGGUCUUAAGGGUUAACGUGCUUCAAGCUUAUGCACUCCUUGCUUGCUGACCUAAAUCCCAAUUUGUAGCAGUACUAACCUACUUCCCUUGAGAUCCUGCAGACUGCUAGAAGCAGACUUCCCGGAAGAUAAGGCUUGACCACACUCAAAAACAGCUACCACUGACCAGGGCAUCUUCAAUAAGAGAUAUCUGGCUGGGAUCCUUGAUUCCUGGCACAGGGGGAAGAGUCUGGACUGCUUUGCCAGGACGUGGCUUGUUGGGCUGCAGGGGCAUCCUUUACUGAGAUACACCUAGGAGCCUUGAUUAUUGGUAGAGCAGAGGAUUCUGGAAGAUUUUUCAAGGACAAAUGAUUAACUGCUGAGCACCAGUUUCUCCUGUACAUAGCCCCCUCACCAUUCCCUGCGCCUUCCCUUUUAAUAAUCUGCUUCCCCUGGACAGGGAAGAUGGCCUUUGAGAAGUCAAUCUGCCUUUUUCCCAGGUUGCCAACUUCCUCAAUAAAGCAACCCUUCUUUUCCCACCAACACUUUUCUCUUGAGUAUUGGCUUUAAAGUGGUGACUUUGGAACUGGUCCUCUGUCCAAUAACAGAAAGACCAUGUGAGGAUACAGCAAGAAGGCAACUACCUGCAGGCCAAGGAGAGAGGCCCCAGGAGACACCAAACCCACCAACUCUUUGAUCUUGGACUUCCCAGCCUCCGGAACUGUGAGAAAAUAUAUUUUUAUUGUUUAAGCCACCUAAAUCUGUGGUAUUUUGUUAUGGCGGCCUUAGCAAGCUAAUAUAACUGCUUUAUUGUUUCCCUUUAAAUGAAAUCAGAAUUAAACCUUGUCUUGAAAAUGGAAGUCAUCCUUAAUUUUUGACAAGGGCUUAACACAAUGUCAGCAUCUUGCCAUGGCCACUGCUAGCAUUACUUCUGCUAGGAUUCCUGCUGUAGUCUCCCAAAUGGCUUUCUGCUUCCUGUCUUCUGUCCCUCCAAUCCAUUCUCCACAGAGCAGACAGAAUAGUCUUUGUAACAACUGCAGUAUCAUUGCACUUAAAAUACGAUCUGUGUCUACCUUGGGCUAUCUGUCCCUACAUGAUCUGGUCUCUUCUCUCCAUCUUCAUCUGGCUCCAUUCUCCCCUUGUUCCCACACUUCAGUUUGCCUAUACUUCCUUUGACACCAUCAGUAACCUAGCUUUUACCUGCUUUAGGGCUUCCUGUAUGCUGUUGUGUGGUAGAUUAUACUUUACAAAAAUGGUUGCAAUAGGAUCUCUCAGACCCAGUAGUAAUUUUUAUAAUGAUUUUGACAUUCCUCCCAUGGAGUGGUGGCUAUCCAUAUUCUCUCCUUUUGGAUUUGGAUGCACGUGUGGCUAUACAAAUUGCUUCCAAGAUAAGGUAUAAAAGGAAAUAUUUUCUGGUGGGCUUUCUUGAGUCACUUCUGGGAAUCCAGCUACCAUGCUGUGAGGAAGUUCAGGCAGCCUUAAUUAGGUGCAAGUGGAAAGGAAUUGAAGGUCUCAACCCAUUGCUCCAGCUGCGCUCCCAGCCAACUGCCAGCACCAACUUGCCAGCCACUUGAGCCAUCUUGAAGCAGGUAUUUCCAGCUCUUUAAGCUGUCCUAGCCGAUGACACCAGAUCAUAUGCUGUAUCCCCAUCAAAUCUCAAAUUAUAGAUUUGUGAAUAAAAUAAAUGUUGUUUUAAGCCACUAA